UGCUAUGAUGAACCUUACUGAUAGGAAUUGCCGUCUGAUAAUUGAUGACCGUGUUCUAGCUGACU